CUGUCACUGAUCAUCAGAGAUCACGGCCUGCCCUCCACUUCCCCUCACGAGAAAGCUGUACACUGCGAUGAUUCCCCCCUCAGUCCCCUGUUCUUCAAGCUGAACUGACCACGUCACGCCCUUAAAAGCUUCUCUUACCGACGGAGGCCUGAUGCGAGCAGAGGGGUGCUGGGUGCCGCCCAGGGCUGUUGCUGUCUGUCCGGUCCGAUGAGUGUCCGGACCCACGGGCAGCGGGCACGAGAGCGCAGAACCGCGGGACUGACCCAACUCGAACCGGAUCCGACCUGACCCGGCCCGGCCGCCUCACGCUGCUCCCGCGCCCGCCUUUCGAACCGACCAAUCAGCCCCCGCGCCCUGCCCCGUCUAUCCAAUCACGAGGCUCCCCGCCUGCAGCACCGCCCGCCCCGCAGCGGGGUGAGUGAGGGGCGGCCUCGGGCAGAGCCAACGGGAAAGGGAAAAAUUCAGGGAAAAGAGGGUGUAUAGAGAAACCCUCCUCUCCUCCUGCCGCCUUCCCUGCCAGCCGCCUGGCUUUGGGGGGCCGUGCCGAGCUAAGCUCGGGUCUGCCUUCUGAGACCCUCCGCUCACCGCGCAACGUCGUCCGGAGCUCCCGGAGAGCUUUGGAAGGGCAGUAUUCUUUUAUAGAUCAAGUCCCUGUGAGCUACCACCUAUAUAAAAUUCUGUCCAUUUGGACUUAAAUUCUGGUAAGAGGGCCACUUGCAAUUCUUACUUUUCAUUAAAAUGUUAUUAAAAAGAAACUAAGGAAACCAAUGUCCUUUCUUCGUACACAUUGUUGUUUCUGUUGAAAUUUUUGUUUGUCAGAGUCAUUCCCCUCCAGCCAAAAGAUUUCAGCUUUCCCUGCUCAUUUAUAGACCAGUGUCUAGUCUGACAUUUCUAAGCAUCAGUUUAAUAUUAAGCACUGGCAGCACUGCUCCAUCAUAACUUCAGAAGUGCUUAAAGCCUUCAGAGAAGCACAGAAAGAUGUUUUGUUACUUAGUCCAUCACAUCCUACAAGAGCUGAGUGCUAGAACUUGAAACACUCUAAUAUUGAAUGUUAUUUAAAAAUUUCAGGAGUACAGAUCUAUGAACUGGUGUGACAGUUAAGACCUUUGAUUUGUAUCAUCUAUUCUACAAGAGGCACCAUUAGAAAAUCCCUUGAAGUUGUUAGAAGGCUGUUAACUAAUGAAGUGCACCAUCACCUCUGCUUAUGCCAUUGGUGGCUUUCAUCUAUGAUCUGAGAAUACUUUUGCAAACAAUGGCAGUGAUUACUGUUCUUAGUGUAGAA
rnacentral:lncRNA from 1 species